UGGGGAAUAUUGCACAAUGGGCGCAAGCCUGAUGCAGCAACGCCGCGUGAGGGACGACGGCCUUCGGGUUGUAAACCUCUUUUAGUAGGGAAGAAGCGAAAGUGACGGUACCUGCAGAAAAACGCACCGGCUAACUACGUGCCAGCAGCCGCGGUAAUACGUAGGGUGCGAGCGUUGUCCGGAAUUAUUGGGCGUAAAGAGCUCGUAGGCGGUCUGUCGCGUCUGCUGUGAAAAUCCCGAGGCUCAACCUCGGGCCUGCAGUGGGUACGGGCAGACUAGAGUGCGGUAGGGGAGAAUGGAAUUCCUGGUGUAGCGGUGGAAUGCGCAGAUAUCAGGAGGAACACCGAUGGCGAAGGCAGUUCUCUGGGCCCGUAACUGACGCUGAGGAGCGAAAGCGUGGGGAGCGAACAGGAUUAGAUACCCUGGUAGUCCACGCCGUAAACGUUGGGCGCUAGAUGUGGGGCACCAUUCCACGGUUUCCGUGUC
rnacentral:rRNA from 1 species